CUUUCCUUGGUAGGCCACUGGCAGGAACAUGUACGCUGUUGUAUUUGAUGCGGCUAAUUGCAAUCUCUAGCCUUCCUACCAUCCUCCCCUUUAUCCCUGUUGAUAUGCGAAUUAGGUAUCUAGCUAGCGAUGCCUCACUAUAUUAUGUUGCAGCAAAACAAUGAUAUAGAUUUGAAAAAUUAAUAAUCAAGUAUUACCUUCGUUUCAACAGAAAAUAAAUGGUUGGUGAACAAAUACAUAUGUACAAAAAGUCUGCACAAAUAGAUAUGUUCAAUGGAAAUAUGCAAAAUAAUAGUCCUAGGCAUCCAAGAUACAGUACUGUGUGCCAUAGAUAUAGCCUAAAAUCUAACUCUGAGUCUCUAGAUAAUGUGAACCUGUGCUUAAUUAUAAAACUUGUGAUUCAAAAUCACAUGAGCAAGUUUCAGAUUUAUAAAUAUACUCAUGCUUUCCGAUUAACCAUCCCAGCUAAAACACCAAGAAAUAUAUCAUGUUGACAACUUUACUACUUGCUUGCAGAAAGUGACAGUUAAAGAAGAACCAGAUGCCACUGAAGAUGCCAAUGGUAACCAUGUGUCUCAGUUUGUAUUAUAUAUGGGUUCUUUAUGCCUGCCUUUAAAUCCUUCUUAAUUUUCCCUGUGCAGUCCUAGCACUGCCAUAAGCAUCGCAAACCACUCGAGUACCUUCAUUCCCCGCGUAGAACUGUUCAAGAAAAGCACAUGUCAAACCAAGUUCGUCUUUCUCUCUGCAAACCUGCUCAAAAAUAGUAGUCGUCCAUUGAGACUUAUUAGUCCAUUGUUUCCCAUAUCUCAGCAGCGCGGAGGAGCCGGCUUCCCGUGUCAGAGAGUUGUGUGUAAUUGCGGGCUACUUCACCAUCAUCAGCCCAUUGGCAGGUAUGCUAGCUCCUACUCUUCUCUUCUUUGAUGCGAAUGCACAAAAGGUGACGCUCAAAUCUGGAGAGUAGCCAAUGAGAUGUAGUUUUAAAUUUUGUCUUUCUGCUGCAGUAUUGUAGGGAUGGACAUAUGGAUUGAGUGGUACCCUCCUGAAAGAUACACAUCUCAGCAGCCAAGAACUUCAAUAAAAAUGUAUAUCCCAACUCCUUUUAUAAUCUUGAAUGCUUCUCGGUCAAUGUCGGUGUCACUUCCAGUCUUGGUUGCUACCAGGAUGCCAGGUGCAAACUUCAUGGAGGCAUAAUGGCUCUAUACUAGCUUCUCUUGAUGAAUGAAGUAGUGCUGCUGAUAUGGACUAUCUGAACAAUCCACAUUAGGUGGGUUUCUGCAAUUAGUAAAAAAAAAUGACUAACGCAGUUAGCGGACUACAUGGGUGCACUGACCAAGCUCUAUUUAUAUUACCCGUUUUCCGUUUGAGUGAUGUUACUUUGCUUGAAAUUUUGAGAUUGCACUAUUAGCUUACUGUCAGGUCUGCACCAUUCUAGAUAUCAUCUUGACUUUUAACUUCUUCAAAUGCAAUAUUAGAUAACAUAAAUAGGAAAAAAUAUCAAAUUGUGAAACUGUAAGUAAUAGCCUCACCUAAAUAUUGAUCUGUUGUGUUAUUUCAGGGAAGAGGUAUGAAAUUCUCAACUUAGGAAGGAACAUCCAACCUGUAAUGUGUCGAUCACUAACUAAUAAACAUGAAUAUGAUGUUGGAAAGAAGCAAUUGGAUAUCAAAGCAAAAGGAUCACGGCUCCUCUUACAAAUCAGUGAAGUAUUCUAAUUCUGGCGAUCUAAGCGUCGGUCCAGGGUGAUUUACCUCUUCCAGCCACUUUCAGUUUGUUCCAAUUCAGUCCCCUCUUAGUUUGUGCUAAAAGAAAGUUAUUGUUAGGGAUUUGAGUUUACCCUUUUAACGUGUGCUUGUGCUAGAGCAGCGGCGCUCCCUCGGCUACGCCUGGGUGUUCGAGCUGUCAGUGUGGUACAGGAGCAUCAGCCACCACCGCUGCCAAGGAGCUCCAGCAACCACAUGAUCACUCUUGCUUCACAGACUAUGUAUGGUCAGUUCAGGUAAUUUUUCCUCGGUGAUUGUUGGCACCCAGGAUGUUACAAUCUUAUUCAUGAUCUAAUAAUUAGCUAGGAAUUUUUGAAAUAGGAUUUUAAUCAGUUAAUGUUUCUUCAUUUGGUCCAGAAAAUUGGAGGUUUUAGGAUCUUUGGAAGUUCUUUGAGGCAUCACCCUUCUUCUCCGCAGUUGAAAGGCCUUGAGCAGCUAAGAUAACUCAAAUGCGUACGCUCAUUCAAAGAACAUGGUUCAGGCCUUAACCAUGUAUGUUUGACGCAGUACAGCGUGGGGGAGGCGGUGUCCUCUGCAGCAAGGUCUACUUGCUGGCGACCUCACCAUCACCAACCCAUCUGCAGGUAUGCUAGCUCUUCAAAUGGAUUGAGUGGUACCCUCCUGAAAGUAUUGUAGGGAUGGACAUAUGGAUUGAUUGGUAGCCCCCUGAAAGCUACACAGAUUUGAACCAAUAACUUUAAUAAGAAUGUGUAUCCCAGCUCCUUUUAUAAUCUUGAAUCCUUAUCGGUCCUACUAAACUGUAAAUCAUGUUUCUUUUUGGAAACAAUAUUGGACUUAUACUAAUUAAGGUAGCUACAUGGGGACCUUUUGUUCUGCCCAGAUUUGAUGAUUUCUCUCAAUAUACUGCUGGUGAUGUAGUUGGCAAUGAUUGGGUGGGCGGUUCUUCGCAUUGCAGUCUGUAUUUAAGUUUGGACAAUUGGCUGCUAAUUUAUCAUGUGAAUAUGUUCUCUCUCUGCAGAUGAAGAUAGAAAAUAUUUGUUAUAUUCUUAUCCAAUUAGUUCACACCAUUGUUGUGAGCAACAGAAGAUUCAGAACUUUCAAGCUCCUUUUUUUCUUGCUAGCCAUGAAGGUGAUACUUUAGUAAAAGGUGCAUACAGUACUAACAUUUUUGCUAUCUUUAUGCUCCUCCAUAUGGAUGGGAACUAAAAGGAUGAUGAUAUUAUUCUACCUUUCAAUAUUUGGCGGCGCAUAUUUAAGAAAAUCACAGCUAAGCAUGUCACUUUCUAGAAAGGCGCUUCACUGGAAUUUAUAUGUAUAUAGUUAAUAAAAUCAUAGUGAUUGAUUUUUCAGUUCCUCUAUUUAGAUUAGAGGUGUCUGCAUGCAUAUUAGCCAAGUGAUUGGUCUUUCCAGUUUAAAAGAGAAAGUGACCGAUGGUUUGGCAUAUUUUCCUAUUAGGAAUAAAUGGAUAUGCCCAUGCACGUAUGCACACAGAUUUCAGGUUACAGUGUAAUUAGGAAACACAUGAUACCUCAUUGUGCCGUCUUGGUCUGAGAAGAGGGGAUAUACUUCGUGAAUAUAUAUGUUCCACCCAACCGUUGAUUUCAGAGAAAAGGACAUGCACUUCAGUAGCAAAAAUUUGAUUGUUACUAUGUACUAUCUGUAAUGCUAAGCAUUUAUUUGCUAAUCUCCUCAUCUGAAUUUGUGUUUUGUGCCAUUUGGCCUUUUAACUAUAUGGGCAUCUGCAGAUGGUCUGAAAACCAAGAUAUGCCAGAGAUAAUAACUAUAGUGGCUGCUCCAGAUGGACUAAGAAUGGGACCAUAUCCUAGGCCUACAUGCUAAUAUUGUACACCAAUGAAUGCUUCACUUAUUUAUACUUAUAAUCAGAUGUGUAAUGAUAAACGCGAUAUUAGCUUUUGUACCCAUCUUCAUGGUUGAAAUACUUUUCUGCAACCCGUGACACAUUUGCUUCAGU